rnacentral:rRNA from 1 species
GACGAACGCUGGCGGCGUGCUUAACACAUGCGAGUCGAACGGAAAGGCCCUGCUUUUGUGGGGUGCUCGAGUGGCGAACGGGUGAGUAACACGUGAGUAACCUGCCCUUGACUUUGGGAUAACUUCAGGAAACUGGGGCUAAUACCGGAUAGGAGCUCCUGCUGCAUGGUGGGGGUUGGAAAGUUUCGGCGGUUGGGGAUGGACUCGCGGCUUAUCAGCUUGUUGGUGGGGUAGUGGCUUACCAAGGCUUUGACGGGUAGCCGGCCUGAGAGGGUGACCGGCCACAUUGGGACUGAGAUACGGCCCAGACUCCUACGGGAGGUAGCAGUGGGGGAUAUUGCACAAUGGGCGGAAGCCUGAUGCAGCAACGCCGCGUGCGGGAUGACGGCCUUCGGGUUGUAAACCGCUUUCGCCUGUGACGAAGCGUGAGUGACGGUAAUGGGUAAAGAAGCACCGGCUAACUACGUG